rnacentral:rRNA from 1 species
GACGAACGCUGGCGGCGUGCUUAACACAUGCAAGUCGAACGGAAAGGCCCUGCUUUUGUGGGGUGCUCGAGUGGCGAACGGGUGAGUAACACGUGAGUAACCUGCCCUUGACUUUGGGAUAACUUCAGGAAACUGGGGCUAAUACCGGAUAGGAGCUCCUGCUGCAUGGUGGGGGUUGGAAAGUUUCGGCGGUUGGGGAUGGACUCGCGGCUUAUCAGCUUGUUGGUGGGGUAGUGGCUUACCAAGGCUUUGACGGAUAGCCGGCCUGAGAGGGUGACCGGCCACAUUGGGACUGAGAUACGGCCCAGACUCCUACGGGAGGCAGCAGUGGGAAAUAUUGCACAAUGGGCGGAAGCCUGAUGCAGCAACGCCGCGUGCGGGAUGACGGCCUUCGGGUUGUAAACCGCUUUCGCCUGUGACGAAGCGUGAGUGACGGUAAUGGGUAAAGAAGCACCGGCUAACUACGUG